UACGAAGGGGGGCUAGCGUUGUUCGGAAUUACUGGGCGUAAAGCGCACGUAGGCGGAUUGUUAAGUCGGGGGUGAAAUCCUGAGGCUCAACCUCAGAACUGCCUUCGAUACUGGCAAUCUCGAGUCCGGAAGAGGAGUGUGGAAUCCUGGUGUAGCGGUGAAAUGCGCAGAUAUCAGGAGGAACACCGAUGGCGGAAGGCAGGUCUCGUGGGCCACUACUGACGCUGAGAGCGAAAGCAUGGGGAGCGAACAGG
rnacentral:rRNA from 1 species